CUGAAUUCUAGGGAGGCCACAGCUCUGGUCAGGCCUGGCUCUGCUGAGCAGCUGUCCUGAGAAUGGCCGCUCCACCUGCCAGCCAGCUGAGGCUUCCCUCCCUCCUUGCACUGCUGGCUGGAAGUGGCUGGAAGAGAUGGAGGGAAUUAACCUCCUUGCCUGGCACCUGGCUUCUGCUAGGAACCAUGGUCAAAGGUGAGAGUGAGGAGGGA
rnacentral:lncRNA from 1 species